rnacentral:rRNA from 1 species
ACGUAGGGGGCAAGCGUUAUCCGGAUUUACUGGGUGUAAAGGGAGCGUAGACGGCGAGACAAGUCUGAUGUGAAAACCCGGGGCUCAACCCCGUGACUGCAUUGGAAACUGUUUUGCUUGAGUGCCGGAGAGGUAAGCGGAAUUCCUAGUGUAGCGGUGAAAUGCGUAGAUAUUAGGAGGAACACCAGUGGCGAAGGCGGCUUACUGGACGGCAACUGACGUUGAGGCUCGAAAGCGUGGGGAGCAAACAG